AUCCAGCUGACGAGCCCCACGUAGGACGAAAUGCGCGUCAAACUGGAU
rnacentral:hammerhead_ribozyme from 1 species